CGGUUUGCUGCUCUCAGCCAAUGAGAGCCAGGAAUUUGGUCACAUGACUUGAAAUGACGCACUCUGAUUGGCUGAUAUCAAUAAGGCAAAUAGGAUGUAAGAAAUUGUUUUUUAGAGCCGAGGAAAACCUACUUUGUAAACGCAUACACUCGCGCAUCUGUUUGCCGAGCCAUUAUCGCUGCCGAUCAAAAGCACACACAAUCUACUUCAGCACACCUGAGGAGAACCUUUCGAAGAAUUUAAACCAGGAGAAAACAGACGACCAGAAGCACAAUGAUGCCCGGCGAUGGAACUUUUGACGGCGUGGACCAAGCCCCAUCAAAGAAUCCACAACAGCAAGCAGCUAAUAAGAGACUGCAGCAAACACAGGCUCAAGUCGAUGAAGUUGUGGAUAUCAUGAGGGAUAAUGUGCAGAGGGUGCUUGAAAGAGAUACCAAGUUGUCUGAGUUAGACAACCGCGCAGAUGCCUUGCAACAAGGUGCCACACAAUUUGAACAGCGUGCUGGACAACUGAAAAGGAAAUACUGGUGGAAGAACUUGAAGAUGAUGAUUAUCAUGGGCGUCAUUGCAGCUGUCAUCUUGAUUAUAAUCAUUGUUCUCGUGACCACGAAUUAGUAGUUCGUAUUGGUUCCUUGCGGUUUUCUUUGUCUUGACUUAUUUAUUUUUAAACUUCUGUUUGGCCUGAAAGUGGAGAUCGUCCUGAAGCUCUUCCUACUCCACAACCGAAUGUACCGAAGCUGCCUGGAAAUUAAAAUUUGUUGCACAAAUUACGGUCCAAACUUGUCAAAUUAUUAGGAGCUGCAUUUGAAAAAAAAAAUAUGAUUAUUUCAAAUUGUGUGCCUUAUUCAAUGUUUCAAUGAGACUUACUGAAUUCCCAGCCUGCAGUCAAUAUCAAUUUGUAUCAAUAUACAGAGAGAAAUGUCCAAGAUUUAAAUUAUAAUUGUAGCCUGACAUUUAACUGUGGUAAAAGUAAUCAUUAAACUUCAAUGGAAUGUAUGUAUUUGUCGUAUCGUUUAACAAUGUUUAAAUAUUUUACCUAGUUAUUUUUUUUUUGCUUUUUAAGAAAAGCAUUGACCAUAAUUAUUGUGGAAAUGCAUAAAUAUACUUUAGAGGCAUAAUAUUAUAGCCUACGAUUGAAAAUACUGAGGUGCUUUGCUAUAUCUUCUACUAUGUACUGACACUUGGUCUUACGAUUCCUAAUUUUGAAUAGCCUAGGAAAUACAUAUUAGCCGUAUUUAAAAAAAAAACAUGUAUUUUAAACAUUAUUGUAAUAAAUUCUUUCAGAACUUUGCUCUA